rnacentral:rRNA from 1 species
AUGGCGCAGCCCCUGCCUCCUCCGCCCUGGAUCCAUGCAGCCGUUGUCCCGUGCAGCACCGCCCUGCCCGGCCUCGGCCUGCCCCAUUGCGCCGCCUCCACGAGCUGGCACCCAUCGCCGGAUCCAAUCACCACAAGGCCCAGCGAGGUGCCAGUGGUGGAUCCGGUCGCCACAGCCGAUGCCACUACCGGUCGCUGGCUGUUAACCCCUGAGACCCGAGGGCCUCCUGCAAGCAUGGCAAGGAGAGCACUUCUUGGCCGUUUGCCGGUCCACAUCGUGAGGUUCACCGACCACGUGACUGCAGUGUAG